GACGAACGCUGGCGGCGUGCCUAAUACAUGCAAGUAGAACGCUGAAGCGAGGAGCUUGCUCUUCUUGGAUGAGUUGCGAACGGGUGAGUAACGCGUAGGUAACCUGCCUUGUAGCGGGGGAUAACUAUUGGAAACGAUAGCUAAUACCGCAUAACAAUGGAUGACACAUGUCAUUUAUUUGAAAGGGGCAAUUGCUCCACUACAAGAUGGACCUGCGUUGUAUUAGCUAGUAGGUGAGGUAAUGGCUCACCUAGGCGACGAUACAUAGCCGACCUGAGAGGGUGAUCGGCCACACUGGGACUGAGACACGGCCCAGACUCCUACGGGAGGCAGCAGUAGGGAAUCUUCGGCAAUGGGGGCAACCCUGACCGAGCAACGCCGCGUGAGUGAAGAAGGUUUUCGGAUCGUAAAGCUCUGUUGUAAGUCAAGAACGGGUGUGAGAGUGGAAAGUUCACACUGUGGCGGUAGCUUACCAGAAAGGGACGGCUAACUACGUG
rnacentral:rRNA from 1 species